AGUAACAAGCAAAAGAAGUGCAAAAAGACAAAACGAACGAAAAUUAUAGUGUAUGCAUCUGUCGCAAAUGUAAAUACCGCUAAAACAGUUUUAAUUAAUGGCAAUGAUGAUCACAUCCGUCACAGCUCAUCCACAGAAACAGAUGAAUCGUCGGAUUAAGUAAUCAAGUUUCCUCCUUGUCAACACUCAAAUGCAUAAAUGGAGCUCCAUGGGGUAUAAGAUGCCCAGGCCAAUGAUAGAUUGAAAC
rnacentral:sRNA from 1 species